rnacentral:rRNA from 1 species
UACGGGGGGGGGCAAGCGUUGUUCGGAAUUACUGGGCGUAAAGGGCUCGUAGGCGGCCAACUAAGUCAGACGUGAAAUCCCCAGGCUCAACCUGGGAACUGCGUCUGAUACUGGAUGGCUUGAAUCCGGGAGAGGGAUGCAGAAUUCCAGGUGUAGCGGUGAAAUGCGUAGAUAUCUGGAGGAAUACCGGUGGCGAAGGCGGCAUCCUGGACCGGCAUUGACGCUGAGGGGCGAAAGCCAGGGGAGCAAACGGG